rnacentral:rRNA from 1 species
AUUGAACGCUGGCGGCAGGCCUAACACAUGCAAGUCGAACGAGUGGCGGACGGGUGAGUAAUGUCUGGGAAACUGCCUGAUGGAGGGGGAUAACUACUGGAAACGGUAGCUAAUACCGCAUACCAUCGGAUGUGCCCAGAUGGGAUUAGCUAGUAGGUGGGGUAAAGGCUCACCUAGGCGACGAUCCCUAGCUGGUCUGAGAGGAUGACCGGCCAAAGGGGAACUGAGCCACGGUCCAGACGCCUACGGGGGGGAGCAGUGGGAAAUAUUGCACAAUGGGCGUAAGCCUGAUGCAGCCAUGCCGCGUGUAUGAAGAAGGCCUUCGGGUUGUUAAGUACUGUCAGCGGGGAGGCGUUACCCGCAGAAGAAGCACCGGCUAACUCCGUGCCAGCAGCCGCGGUAAUAC